AAGGCUUUAAGUUACAAUUAAACUAAUAACCUUCAAAGCUAUAAAUAAAGAGAAUCUUUAAGCCUUA
rnacentral:tRNA from 1 species